UACGUAGGGUGCAAGCGUUAGUCGGAAUUACUGGGCGUAAAGCGUGCGCAGGCGGUUUUGUAAGCCAGAUGUGAAAUCCCCGGGCUUAACCUGGGAAUGGCAUUUGGGACUGCAAGGCUUGAGUGCGGCAGAGGAGACUGGAAUUCCUGGUGUAGCAGUGAAAUGCGUAGAUAUCAGGAGGAAUACCGAUGGCGAAGGCAGGUCUCUGAGCUGACACUGACGCUCAUGCACGAAAGCGUGGGGAGCAAACAGG
rnacentral:rRNA from 1 species